UUUUUUUUUUUUUUUUUUUCCUGUAUUUCUCUACAUGUGAAGACUCUUUGCACGAUUAGAAGAAGGAAGUUUUAAAUUACCACCAUCAAAUUCAGAGCUCAAAAUCUCUGACCUUCAGAAUUUCCAAUUCUUGGAAAAGUUUUCGAUGAAUGACAAUAUCCCACAUUAGAUUGCGAGAAUUCUUUUUUAAUUAAUAAAAGAAAAAAGUUCACAAAUUAUUAAAAAAUAAUAUUUAUAUAAAUUAAUAUCUAAUUCAAUAUUUUAUUUAAACAAUAAAUACAUAAAUAUCUUUCCAUGCCGAUAGUUGAAAAAUGCCAAUACUGCUUAAAAAGGAAAAAUUCAUUUCUCAAAUAAAAAUUGAUUAAAUCGAUUCAAAAAGUAGCUAGUCAAAUCGAUAGCAUUUAAACUUUUUUUUAAACUUACUGUUAAAAUAUUUUCAAAUUAUUUUAUGCCAAUAAAAAUUAAUUUUUUUUGUACACCAAGAUGAGUAAGCCUACAAAUUUUAUUUUUUAUGUUAGUAAUAUCAUCCAUAAAUGUAUAAUUCUCUUUCUUAUUUUUUUGGUUUCUGUUAUAUUGUCUUGCAUACUAACCUGUGGACCAAUAAGAUUACCA
rnacentral:misc_RNA from 1 species